GCCACCGCGUCGCCUCCAUGAGUCUCGGGGGAGAACCCUAGCCGCCACUCCUUCCCUCCCCUACCUCCUCCAUGUCUCACCGCCGCCGCCGGAGUGCGCUCCUGGGCGAAGCUAGGGCCAACUCCUCCAUGUGUCUCGGGAGAGAAACCUAGCCACCACCCCUUCCAUCCCCUAACUCCUCCAUGUCUCGCCGCCGCCGCCGGAGGGCGCGCCGGAGUGAAGCUAGGGCCAGCCCCAAGGAGGUCAACGACGGGGCACCUGGUUCCGGUCGGCUUGGCGCGGGCGCGCGGCGAAUGCUUGCUGCAACAGCGCUGAGGCACGGACUGUGUUGCCCAGGAGCGUGGCCGACGCCAGUUGCUGGCUUACCUGCCUUGCUUCCGCCGGAUGCGGGCUCUCUCCACUCCUCAUGCAUCCGCCAUGUCGGCCCAAGCAGACGACGAAGUCCAGCCCUGGCCAACAAGCUGUUCGUCACACGCCCAUGUAUGAUGAUUUCAGAAGUAUGGUCAAAUGGAAGGCUGAAGGAAGAUUUUUGAAAUGGCAAAGUCAUCAGCAAGGACAUGAGAGAAGGGGUCUGACUUGUUUCUUCAUAGGGGACAAAGAUGCCCUCUUCAUAGUGGUCAGGGACAAAACUGCCAGCUUGCCAUAUCUGAGUUUUAACUAUCUCUUUUGUUUUGUGCCUUCACUGUUAUUGCGUUUGUCAGAUACUCACAUAUCUUAUUUCUUAAAGGCUCUAAAGUUUUGUUUUGGAUAUGCGCAUUUCAUAUUAGUCAAGACAUGCAUCGGCCUCUGAUCCUUACUUUAGAAGCUUUAGUAAUUAGCUCUAUUUUAUACGACUGGCAACAUAUCAAUAUUCUUCUCCUUUAGCUAUAUAUAGUCAGGAUUCACAAGAAAGGAGAAGAGGCUAUUGAUGGAAUCAUUUUUUGGUUUUAGUCUUGUUUCCUGAUAUUCGGUAGCAUUAUAAUUAGAAAUUUGUGAGUGAGUUUGCCUGCAUCUUUAUAUUAGGAAGUUCUCUACAUGCAAUGGAUACAGAUUGUGAGGGUCACUGUUUUUAGCUGAGAAUGAUUCACUAUUUGAAACUUUUUAUAUAGGACAUGAUAAUAGCAUGUUGGUUAGGGUAAAAAUAUCUUUUCUGAUCCCGAUUUGGUUCAGUUAACAUCUCAUUGUAAUCACUUCCUUCAAUAUUUCUAGCCUCAAUACCAUCAGUCAACUACGUCACGUGCACCUUCUGACUGAGCAGAUGAACUAUCCACUGCCCUGGAUGUUGUGCUGUCCUCCAGUCCCGCUCUGCUACUUCUGACCAAGCACAUCAAACCAAGACUGAUUGCUCUAUCAAACCAAGACUAUAUUCUGCAUUAGUUUUCUUAUAUUUGCGGAGUGUGCAAAUGACUUUCUUCUUAUCUUUACUCAUUAAUAAUAAUAGUGAGGUCAAACUCGGUCAUACGACUGUCACUGUAGGUGCCUUCUCUGGAUCAAUAUUUGAGUUAUCCAUUGGAUCAAUAUUUGAGUGUGCAAAUGAUUGCUCUGUGUUUUGAGUUAUCCAUUGGAUCAAUAUUUUUUCUGAAUUUUAUGAUGCUCAUUUUCAAAAUGAUAUUUGUACUAUGUUUGAAUUUUGAUGCAAGUUUUAACAUGUCAAUGGGAUCACGAUGGCUUGAUUUUUUCCACCAAAUUAUUAUAGAUGUGAUUACCUACAGAUCUUGUUUGCACUUGAUUCUAUCUAGCGGCUCACAUAUGUUAGUGUUGUGUAGAUAGCUAGCAAUUGAUACCCAAUAUCUCAUAUAUACCAAAAAAGAAAAAUUGUUGUAAAUAAGUAGUUCACUACCAUGUGCAAACAAGAUUUUUGAGACACAUGAUCUUCAUAUUGUUUCUAUUUCAAGGUCGGCAGCUUCCCUCAUCUUGGUUCUUAUUUUAGGUUCAAGCUGACUGAGUAGUAUUUGUGAUCCAAAUGACUGGUUUCAGGUAUCAACUUGACAUAUGUAUGUAGCCCUCUCCAUUUCCUCAUUCUCUGAUUCUUUGGGUCAUUUUAGAACUUCUGAUGGGUUAAUUUAUUUGCAGUACAGUGUUGAUGCUGCUCUAGGACACCUCCCACAUUAGUUCUCCAUUGCAAUUGUUCACCCAACGGACAAGACAGACGUCUCAGUGCUUGCCCACCAUUAUUUGACCUGAUACAGUCACCCAUAAGAUCAGUAAAUCAGUAUGCCCCAACUUAUGUUUUUUCCAACUUCAUUAUUUUGGAUUAUCAGUUGUCCUUACUGCUAUCAAUCCAUGGCAAGAAGUAAUGCAACUAAACUACUUCUCUGAGUUUGGUGGGCAGUAAUGUAAUAGGAUUAUUGCCGCAUAGUUAAUUAUUUGAUGAAUAUUGUGUUUAUGGUUAGAUAAUUCUCUCACGGGUUAUUUGAAUAUUGUGUUUAUGUAUCUCAUCAAGCAAGUACUUGUUCUGAUAUGCCAUCCAUAUAUUUUAAGUUAGUUCUUUUAGUUGGACUGAUAAUUUGGUACUGCAGACAAAGCACGUAAUAACUGGGUAUAUUGAAAAGCAUUUUUUAAAGGCAUACGGUGAUUGACUUCAUGU